GGGCCCGCACAAGCGGUGGAGCAUGUGGUUUAAUUCGAUGAUACGCGAGGAACCUUACCAAGGCUUAAAUGUAAAGCGAUCGGUUGAGAAAUCAGCCUUUCUUCGGACGAUUUACAAGGUGCUGCAUGGUUGUCGUCAGCUCGUGCCGUGAGGUGUCGGGUUAAGUCCCAUAACGAGCGCAACCCCUAUUUCUAGUUGCCAGCGAGUAAUGUCGGGAACUCUAGAAAGACUGCCUGUGCAAACAGAGAGGAAGGUGGGGAUGACGUCAAAUCAUCACGGCCCUUAUGUCUUGGGCUACACACGUGCUACAAUGGUUAUUACAAUGGGAAGCCAUCUGGUGACAGAGAGCAAAUCCAUAAAGGUAAUCUCAGUUCGGAUCGGAGUCUGCAACUCGACUCUGUGAAGUUGGAAUCGCUAGUAAUCG
rnacentral:rRNA from 1 species